rnacentral:rRNA from 1 species
UGGCCGCGGGAUUCGACUGACUGAAUGCCAGCCGCCGCGGUAAUACAGAGGGUGCGAGCGUUAAUCGGAGUUACUGGGCGUAAAGGGCGCGUAGGCGGUUGUUUAAGUGAGAUGUGAAAUCCCUGGGCUUAACCUAGGAACUGCAUCUCAUACUGGAUAGCUAGAGUAUUGUAGAGGGUAGUGGAAUUUCCGGUGUAGCGGUGAAAUGCGUAGAGAUCGGAAGGAACACCAGNGGCGAAGGNGGNUACCUGAUACCCUGGUAGUCCACGCUGUAAACGGUGAGUGCUAAGUGUUAGAGGGUUUCCGCCCU